rnacentral:rRNA from 1 species
AUGGAGGCGGUGGAAGACGCCACAACCCUGGAGGCCGCGAUUGCGUGGCUUGUUGAUACCAUCCUUGCAAAUCUCCGAGCCGGCAGCAAGCUGGAGUCAUGGAUCCGGCAAGCUGGCCUCGGCAGCGACGUCGGGAAGCUCAAGUCCGAGGUCGAGGCGGUGGAGAUGGUGGUUUCUGCUGUGCAUGGGAGGGCGGCCGGGAACAAGCCGCUGGCCCGAUCUCUUGCUUGUCUCAAGGAACUGCUCUAUGACGCCGACGAUGUGGUCGACGAGCUCGACGGCCACAGGCUCCAGCAGGAGCUCCAACCUGAGACACUGCUCCUAACGGAUGGACUUGAUGGAACGCCGCAAACUGUUGAGAGAUCGCGAGAAAAUGCUGGCGACGUACAGAGUAGCGGUAAUAACAGGUUACGGUCCGAGCUAUGGAAUCAAUUUGAAAUCACAGCAUUUCUUGAACAAAACGGAGGGCCUUCGCCUUCCAGAGCAAGAUGCAAGCGCUGUCAAACAGAGCUUAUGUGCGAAACCAAGAAAGGGACAUCGGUUUUGCGCAAUCAUCUCAAGAGCAAAGCUUGUAGCAACAAACGUGGAGCAACUGACCCUUCUUCAAGCACUGCUGAUGCUACUACAAUUCCUACGCCUGUUGCAACUGCCAGCAGAAAAAGGAUGAGAACUAGUGAGGAGUCAACCGCAGCUAACCCAAACGGGUGGAACAAGGAUGCAUUUUCCGAAAGGAUACAAGACAUCACUAGUCAGCUGCAAGGCAAACGAGAGGCUAUCACAAGGCUUCUCAAUAUACUUGGGCGAGACUCUGAUGGCACAAGUUCAAAUCACUAUCCGAGUACAGUCUCAGAUACACGCCGAAGAACAUCAAGUCUUCUUCAAGGGAAGGUCUAUGGAAGAGCUGCAGAGAAGAGAUCCAUCAAAAAGUUAAUAGAAGAACACAAAUCAACUGCCGGUGUAACCGUUCUUCCUGUUGUGGGCAUCGGAGGAGUUGGGAAGACAGCUCUCGCUCAGCUUGUAUACAACGAUCCAGCUUUGCAAAGUCUAUUUGAUCACAAGAUAUGGAUCUGGGUGUCUAAAGACUUUGAUGAAAUGAGACUCACAAGAGAGAUGUUAGAUUGCGUCUCCCAAGAAUCUUAUGAUGGCCUAUGCAGUUUUACCAAGCUUCACGAGGUCUUGAAGGGUCAUGUUAAAUCAAAGAGGGUUCUACUCAUUUUAGAUGAUGUCUGGGAAGUCAUGGAUGACUGCAGGUGGAACAAAUUAUUGGCUCCUUUCAAGUCUGACAAUGCAAAGGGCAACAUGAUAAUCAUGACAACUAGAAAACCGUCCGUUGCAAAGAGAAGAGGUACAACUGGGCCAAUUAACUUAGGUGCUUUGGGAAAGUACCAUUUUUGGCAAUUGUUUCAAUCAUGCGCGUUUGGUGACGAGAAUUAUGAAGCGCAAGCAAGUCUAAAUGACUUAGGACAGGAAAUAGCACAAAAGUUAAAAGGGAACCCAUUAGCAGCACAAACUGCCGGGGCACUAUUAAGAGAUCAUAUUACUGUGGAGCAUUGGAGUAACACUCUAAAUACCGAAGCUUGGAAUUCCCUGCGACACACUAGUGGCAUCAUGUCUUCUUUGAAGCUUUCCUAUGAUGAGUUGCCCUACCCGAUGCAGCAAUGCUGCUCAUAUUGUUCUAUAUUCCCCUACGAUUAUGAAUUUGUUGCUGAGGAGCUAGCUCGUCUUUGGAUUUCACAGGGAUUUUUGAAGCGUGAUCAUCCAAAUAUGAGUUUGGAGGAGACGGGACGGUACUAUCUGACUGACUUGGUGAGUCUGGGCUUGUUUCAGCAAUUUGACAAAAAAAUAUCCUCUCUUGGUAGUCAAACUCAAACUUGCUAUGCUAUGUGUGGCCUCAUGCAUGAUUUUGCAAGGCUAGUUUCAAGAACUGAGUGUGCAACUUUGGAUCGUUUGCAAUACAAUGAAAUUUUCCCAAAUGUACAUCACUUGUCCAUAGUAACCAGUUCUGUAUAUUGGACGGAUGAUGUGACUGGGAACCUCUGUCGUAAUGAGAGGUUUGAAUUUUUGUUGCAAAAUAUAUUCGCUUCAGUGGGAAAGUUGAGGACAUUGGUGUUAAUUGGGAAGUAUGACUCUUUUUUCUUCAAAGCAUUCCAAGAUGUAUUUGAAAAAGCACAUAAUCUGCGUCUGCUGCAAAUGUCUGCAACAUUUGCUGAUUAUAAUUCCUUCCUGUGUGGCUUGGUAACUCCUACACGUCUUCGGUAUCUAAAACUUCAGGAUGGUCAUACUGAGCAGAAGGUUUUGCCUGAUGUUUUGAGCAAGUUUUUCCAUCUUCAAGUAUUAGAUGUUGCUUUACUUAUGUCUUUGCAUACGGUUCAUCUAGAGGAUUGCGAGGCAUGGAGAAUACUUCCAUCUCUGGAAAUGCUUCGGUUUCUUAAAAGGUUGAAGUUGCGCAACAUGCAGAGAGUAAGAGAAGUAUCGGUUCCAUCAUUGGAGGAGCUUGUUUUAGAUGGAAUGCUAGAUUUACAGAGAUGUUCUUGUACUUCCGUGGGGGAUAUGAGGUCAAGUUUAAGGGUGUUGGAGAUCCAAAGUUGCCCUGUACUUGAGGUGUUUGAUCUGUUUCAAAAAGGUCAUAACUACGAAAUUGAGCAUAAGUCAUGGUUGCCCAAUCUAAGGAAACUCAUUAUGUGUGAUUGUCCUUGUUUGCAAGCACACAACCCCCUUCCACCAUCAGCCAUAUUUUCUGAACUAAUAAUCGAUGGUGUUUCAACAGUUUUGAGAAUGGAGGGAUCUUCCAUGGAAACAUUCUGGAUUGAGCGUGAGUCUUCUCGUGGUGAGAUGAUGGCACUCGAUGACAAUAUUUUGGCAUUCCAUAAUCUUAAGGAUAUCAAAUACUUGGAGAUAUUGUCAUGCAAAAACCUAGCAUCUAUUUCAUUUGAAGGAUUAAGUCAGCUCAUGUCUUUAAAGAGUUUGAAAAUACAGUACUGCAGAGAACUUUUCUCUUCAGAUGAUGUGCCAGAGCAGACCCAUGAAAACAUGAUAACUGCAUAUAAUGCUGCUCUCCCGUCUCUUGAAAGUCUCUAUAUUGAAGACUCUGGAAUAACCGGGAAGUGGCUAUCUCUGAUGUUGCGACACUCGUUGAGCCUGAAGGAAUUAGAUUUACAUGGCUGCCCGCAGUUGAAAGAGUUGAAGAUAGAAGAGGAAGGAAAGGUUCAAUCAAACCUUAUCUCAGAUUCUGAGGCUUCGUCAUCAGGGUAUCUAUCUGAUUCUGAGGCUUCGUCAUCAGGGUAUCUAUCUGAUUCUGAGGCUUCGUCGUCAGGAUAUGUAGAUGGAGUCGUGCACAUUCAAUUGAAUCUCAGAAAGAUAACAAUUGGUGAAUGCCCUAAUCUGAUAUUUGACCGGGGUGGAAGAUGUCUCCUCCCGCAAUCACUUGAACAACUUGUUUGGUGGAAAUAUCCCCAGGAAACACUGCGGCCCUGCUUUGUGGAUAAUCUCACAUGCCUCAAAAAAUUAGUAGUAGGAGCCCAAAGUUUGAAAUAUAUACAACUGGAUUCAUGUACGUCAUUGGAAGAUUUGGAAAUUGGAGAAUGCGGUCGGCUCAUCACACUAGAGGGCAUGCAAUCGCUCAGAUCUUUGGAAUUAAAUAGGAACUCAAGAUUGAAAUCUCUACAGCUGAAUUCCUGCACGUCGCUGGAACAUUUGGCAAUUUUUGAUUGUAGUUCGCUCGUCGCACUAGAGGGCUUGCGAUCCCUGGUGAACCUCAAGCAUUUGGUAAUACUCAGAUCCCCUGCCUUGAAUUCCCUUGCCACAUUGGAGAGUCAUGAGUUAUUCCCUGCACUGGAAAGUCUCGAGGUCAAUGAUUUGUCUCCCCUUAACACGGUAUUCUGCAAGGGCCUCACCUGCCUCCGAAGCCUAAAGCUUAGUUAUUCGGAUGCAACGGGACUGACAGAUGAGCAAGAGAGAGCGCUUCUGCUCCUCAGGUCCCUGCAACAGCUCUACUUUGACAAUUGUGAGGAUCUCGUAGAUCUUCCCGCGGGGCUGCGUGGUCUUCCUUCACUCAAGAUGUUGAAGAUAAAAUAUUGCUCGUCCAUUUCAAGGCUUCCGAAGGAGAGUCUCCCACCUUCGCUGGAAGGACUGGUGAUCGUCCAAUGCAGCGACGAGUUAUCAGAAGGAUGCGAAUUGCUAGCAACAAGCAAGCUAGAUGUCAAAAUUAAUAGGUGCUAUGUGGACUGA